rnacentral:rRNA from 1 species
AAACCAGCACCUCAAGUGGUCAGGAUGAUUAUUGGGCCUAAAGCAUCCGUAGCCUGCUCUGUAAGUUUUCGGUUAAAUCUGUACGCUCAACGUACAGGCUGCCGGGAAUACUGCAGAGCUAGGGAGUGGGAGAGGUAGACGGUACUCGGGAGGAAGUGGUAAAAUGCUUUGAUCUUUCGAUGACCACCUGUGGCGAAGGCGGUCUACCAGAACACGUCCGACGGUGAGGGAUGAAAGCUUGGGGAGCAAACCGGAUUAGAAACCCGGGUAGUCC